rnacentral:rRNA from 1 species
UACGGAGGGUGCGAGCGUUGUCCGGAAUCAUUGGGCGUAAAGGGCGCGUAGGUGGCGGGACAAGCGUGCGGUGAAAGCCUGGGGCUCAACCCCGGGUCGGCCGUGCGAACUGUUUUGCUUGAGCACUGUAGAGGCAGGCGGAACUCCGGGUGUAGCGGUGGAAUGCGUAGAGAUCCGGAAGAACACCGGUGGCGAAGGCGGCCUGCUGGGCAGUAGCUGACACUGAGGCGCGACAGCGUGGGGAGCAAACAGG